rnacentral:rRNA from 1 species
AAAUGAAUUGACGGGGGCCCGCACAAGCGGAGGAGCAUGUGGUUUAAUUCGAUGAUACGCGAGGAACCUUACCUGGGCUCGAACGUAGAUCGAUGUAUGCCGAAAGGUAUAUUCCCUUCGGGGCGAACUACGAGGUGCUGCAUGGUUGUCGUCAGCUCGUGCCGUGAGGUGUUAGGUUAAGUCCUGUAACGAGCGCAACCCUUAUCUUUAGUUGCCAGCAUGUAAUGAUGGGGACUCUAAAGAAACUGCCGGCGCAAGCCGUGAGGAAGGUGGGGAUGACGUCAAAUCAGCACGGCCCUUAUGUCCAGGGCGACACACGUGCUACAAUGGUCGGUACAGAGGGCAGCUACAUGGUGACAUGAUGCUAAUCUCGAAAACCGAUCUCAGUUCGGAUCGAAGUCUGCAACUCGACUUCGUGAAGUUGGAUUCGCUAGUAAUCGCGCAUCAGCCAUGGCGCGGUGAAUACGUUCCCGGGCCUUGUACACACCGCCCGU